UGGGGAAUAUUGCACAAUGGGCGCAAGCCUGAUGCAGCCAUGCCGCGUGUAUGAAGAAGGCCUUCGGGUUGUAAAGUACUUUCAGCGAGGAGGAAGGUGUUGUGGUUAAUAACCGCAGCAAUUGACGUUACUCGCAGAAGAAGCACCGGCUAACUCCGUGCCAGCAGCCGCGGUAAUACGGAGGGUGCAAGCGUUAAUCGGAAUUACUGGGCGUAAAGCGCACGCAGGCGGUUUGUCAAGUCGGAUGUGAAAUCCCCGGGCUCAACCUGGGAACUGCAUCCGAAACUGGCAGGCUAGAGUCUUGUAGAGGGGGGUAGAAUUCCAGGUGUAGCGGUGAAAUGCGUAGAGAUCUGGAGGAAUACCGGUGGCGAAGGCGGCCCCCUGGACAAAGACUGACGCUCAGGUGCGAAAGCGUGGGGAGCAAACA
rnacentral:rRNA from 1 species